rnacentral:lncRNA from 1 species
UGCCCGCCCCCUCCCCCCGAGAAGUGACCCUCGGCUCCCACGUACCCGCUAGGGUCUCUCGCCGGCCCUGCCCUCCGACCCCCGCCGAGCUGAACCCCGCGACUAGCAGCCCCCGCCCUCUCGGCCCUCUCCGGCCCCGGGCCGGCGGACAAAGCUCCGGACACCCUGACCGAACGGUCACCUCCCCCCGCCCCAUCCCGGCCCGCCCGCGGCCCCGUACCUCGGCAUCACGGCCGGGUCCUAGGUUCCAGGGGUUGAGCCCACUCCAUCCUGUCCAAAGGCAGAAGCCUCCUCCAAGUCCUGCACGAUCCGCCCUCUAACAUGCAAGCCCAUCUGGAACCUCUGGAAUCCUACUGGGCUUCUUCGCUCCCUAAAGUUUACAGACCCAGGGCAAAAUAGGGAACUGCAAAUCCAAGUGGCCCAGAGGUCUCUCCACCCCCACUCUGCCCUCUCUGGGCCUGAGCCUGACAGGAGAUUCCCAGCACAUCUGGUUGUACUUAAAUCAUCCAGCACUACUGGAGUAGGUUCCCUGCUUCUCUCCCUUCAGCCCCAGCCUCCUCCCCUUCCUACACCAGCCUUCCAGGUCUCUCCUCCAGGAUGCCUUCCCUAACUCAUCCAGCCUCGGUAUCUGCACCCCACCCUUGAACCUCCACCUCUUUGGGUCUGGAGUCUGCCAGGGUGUGGAAGGGAGGGUGUGUGCUCCGCAAGACUCAGUGUGUAGAAUCUCAUCCUUCCCGAGCAUUGGUCCUAGAUAGAAACCUUCCCUUCAGGUAAGGAAGGGAGCCAGCCAAGAGCCUCCCCUCUGCUCCCUUGGCCUCAGGGGUGGCUGUCUCCAGUUAUGGGUGUGUACAGUGGGGAGGAACAAGUUCAGAUCCAGGCAGAGCCAUUCCUUUGGCAACUCUUGCUGUCAGCCAUCUUCCAAAGAGCUUUGCAAAAUGUUAAAGAACAAAAGAGAAAUAAAUACAGAGAAUAUAGCAAGUAUAAAAAUGCACAGUCUAGGCCAGGCACGGUGGCUCACACCUGUAAUCCUAGCACUUUGGGAGGCUGAGGCAGAUGGAUCACUUGAGGUCAGGAAUUUGAAACCAGCCUGGCCAAGAUGGUGAAACCCCAUCUCUACUAAAAAUACAAAAAUUAGCCAGGUGUGGUGGCGGGCACCUGUAGUCCCAGCUAUUUGGGAGGCUGAGGCAGAAGAAUUACUUGAACCCCGGAAGUGGAGGUUGUAGUGAGCCAAGAUCACACCACUGCACCCCAGCCUGGCUGACAAAGCAAGAUUCUGUCUCAAAAAAAAAAAAAAAAAAAAAAAAGAAUGCACGGACUCUAAAGAACAAGUUUGUAACCUACCAUGACCUGCUCCACCAGGGCUCCAGGUUUGAAUGUUCAUUCAUUCUUUUAUUCAAUAGCAUGUACUGAUGCCUGAGUCUACUAAGUUCUAGGAACAGUGACUCAAGUAAGAUCCCAGGGUCAGUGGGGGACAGGAACAGGUGGAUGAACAAAUGCUGCAUGCUGUAAUGGACAUGAGUCAGGGAGACAGAGGGGUGCCAAGGUUGAAGGUCAGAGACCCUGGACUGAAUCCCACCUCUGUCACUUUCUGCACUGUCUCUGGGGAGCCACUUAAUCUUGGGGAGCCUGUCUCCCCACCUGGAAAAGGACGAUGAUGUGACCUCACAGGGUCGUAGUGGGACUCAAAUAAGAUAAUGUGUGUGAAAACGCCUUGCAAAGUGCUAAGUGAGUUGUUGCUAUUAUGAUUAGGCUCAGGGGCUGCCUAUCUGACACUCAUUUUUCUAAUGCCUCAACAGCUGUCUCUCUUACCCUCCCAGGGCAGGUACCACGUUGGAGAAACUUCUGAGGGUGAAGGACACCCACCCUAGAGUAGUGGGCAGUUAAGCUGCCCGCAUAGACACACACACACACACUUUAGUUACACAAGCAGAACACCUUUUUAUAAAAAUUCGAAAGGCAUCAUGUGCCUACAGCCUCAGUUACUCAGGAGGCCGAGGCAAGAGGAUUGCA